rnacentral:misc_RNA from 1 species
GAACUGCGAUAAGUAAUGUGAAUUGCAGAAUUCAGUGAAUCAUCGAGUCUUUGAACGCACAUUGCGCCCCCUGGCAUUCCGGGGGGCAUGCCUGUCCGAGCGUCAUUGCUGCCCUUCAAGCCCGGCUUGUGUGUUGGGUCGUCGUCCCCUCCGGGGGACUGGCCCGAAAGGCAGCGGCGGCACCGCGUCCGGUCCUCGAGCGUAUGGGGCUUUGUCACCCGCUCGAUAAGGACCGGCCAGGCGCCAGCCGGCGUCUCCAACCUUUUUUUCUCAGGUUGACCUCGGAUCAGGUAGGGAUACCCGCUGAACUUAAGC